rnacentral:rRNA from 1 species
AUUGAACGCUGGCGGCAUGCCUUACACAUGCAAGUCGAACGGUAACAGGUCUUCGGAUGCUGACGAGUGGCGAACGGGUGAGUAAUACAUCGGAACGUGCCUAGUAGUGGGGGGAUAACUACUCGAAAGAGUGGCUAAUACCGCAUGAGAUCUACGGAUGAAAGCAGGGGAUCGCAAGACCUUGUGCUACUAGAGCGGCGGAUGGCAGAUUAGGUAGUUGGUGGGAUAAAAGCUUACCAAGCCGACGAUCUGUAGCUGGUCUGAGAGGACGAUCAGCCACACUGGGACUGAGACACGGCCCAGACUCCUACGGGAGGCAGCAGUGGGGAAUUUUGGACAAUGGGCGCAAGCCUGAUCCAGCAAUGCCGCGUGCAGGAUGAAGGCCUUCGGGUUGUAAACUGCUUUUGUACGGAACGAAAAGCCCCGGGUUAAUACCCUGGGGUCAUGACGGUACCGUAAGAAUAAGCACCGGCUAACUACGUGCCAGCCGCCGCCGUAA